CGUGCAGACUCAGCCUUAAAAACCUAUAACAAGGUAGGCUACCUUCUUUUCGUGAUCACACCUUUCGGUGAACGCCAGCACUUGGCUCUGUGGUCUGUAAUUAAACUAAGUACCGAUGCUUUAUAAGGUCGUGUUGCAGACGUAAAAAGCCCUUUGAAGUUUGUCGUUGCCCCCUUUACUGAGAAAUCA
rnacentral:ncRNA from 1 species